AAGUCGUAACAAGGUUUCCGUAGGUGAACCUGCGGAAGGAUCAUUAACAAUGCUUUAAAAGCAUCCACCUUUUGUGCAUAGACCAACUGUUACCUUGGCGUUGCUUCAAAUAAUAUGAAAAUAUUAAUUGACUUAGUUUUUUGGCCGGAUAUAUUUAUAUAACCCGCUAAAGCUCUAAGCGGCACGCCGGAGGAUUUUAUAAACGUUAAUCUUUGUCUGAAAAAAUUUUAUUUCUUUGAAAAUAAAAACAUAACCAAUACAACUUUUAACAACGGAUCUCUUGGCUCU
rnacentral:misc_RNA from 1 species